GACAGCUAUACUUGAAAAAUUUGGGAAACCAACACAGCCUGCCUCGCUGGUCCUGACUGAAAAAUCACUGUAGCCUGCGGUGUUCUGUCUGCAGCUGCCAGCACUAUUUUCUACGCCUGCAAGGUCUAUGAACCGAAUAUGCAGGAAGACGUCCAACUGGACCCUGACUUCCUAGAGGACCCAGAGUUUGUAGAUGACCAUGCUCCUCCUGCAACUUGGGAGGAGGCUACUGAAAGAGACAUCUAUUCCAGUAUUGGAAUUAAAGUCCAUUGCUCAGAUGACCUGCUGUUGCCAUGAAGGUAAGAUCUGUCAGGCAUUCAACUCUUCUCGUGUGUGUUAGGGCUACACGAUGUACCGUUUCGGCAUCGUCAUCGCGAUGUAGGCACGUUCAAUAGUCACAUCGCAGGAUGUACGAUGUCUAGUAAAGCAAAUUAUAUUAAGUGGCGUAGACAACGCUUUUGGUGUUUUUGCUAAACAAACAAAUGUCUCACUGUUCUAAUUCUUAAACAAUCCAGAUGACAUGGCUUUAGUUGCCUGCCUUCAGGACUAAAACAGCUCUCCCUAUCUUCAGUAUAUUGACACCCUGGCUUUGUGGAUUGACAACAGCUUUCUGGAUCUUAAUGUAAGCAAAACCAAGGAGAUGUGGCUGGUGAGCAGCAAGACGGGAGGC